rnacentral:rRNA from 1 species
GACGAACGCUGGCGGCGUGCCUAAUACAUGCAAGUCGAGCGGACCAUUCCUUCGGGAAUGGUUAGCGGCGGACGGGUGAGUAACACGUAGGCAACCUGCCUGUAAGACUGGGAUAACUACCGGAAACGGUAGCUAAGACCGGAUAACUGGUUUCUUCACCUGAAGAGAUCAUGAAACACGGAGCAAUCUGUGGCUUACAGAUGGUCCUGCGGCGCAUUAGCUAGUUGGUAGGGUAACGGCCUACCAAGGCGACGAUGCGUAGCCGACCUGAGAGGGUGAUCGGCCACACUGGGACUGAGACACGGCCCAGACUCCUACGGGAGGCAGCAGUAGGGAAUCUCCCGCAAUGGACGCAAGUCUGACGGAGCAACGCCGCGUGAGUGAUGAAGGUUUUCGGAUCGUAAAGCUCUGUUGCCAGGGAAGAACGCCCAGGAGAGUAACUGCUCUUGGGGUGACGGUGCCUGAGAAGAAAGCCCCGGCUAACUACGUGCCAGCCGCCGCCGUAACAC